rnacentral:rRNA from 1 species
UCCAAUUGCAACUACUGUUGAAAGCAAGUCAUCCCGUCCGAUCUGGCAAGUUUGGCAACGUUGGGUCUGGUUAAUACUUGGAUCGGAGACGGCUUGCGAGUCCCUUCCUCAUAAGAU